GACGAACGCUGGCGGCGUGCCUAAUACAUGCAAGUAGAACGCUGAAGGAGGAGCUUGCUCUUUCCGGAUGAGUUGCGAACGGGUGAGUAACGCGUAGGUAACCUGCCUGGUAGCGGGGGAUAACUAUUGGAAACGAUAGCUAAUACCGCAUAAUAGCAGUUAUUGCAUGAUAACUGUUUGAAAGGUGCAAAUGCACCACUACCAGAUGGACCUGCGUUGUAUUAGCUAGUUGGUGAGGUAACGGCUCACCAAGGCGACGAUGCAUAGCCGACCUGAGAGGGUGAUCGGCCACACUGGGACUGAGACACGGCCCAGACUCCUACGGGAGGCAGCAGUAGGGAAUCUUCGGCAAUGGACGGAAGUCUGACCGAGCAACGCCGCGUGAGUGAAGAAGGUUUUCGGAUCGUAAAGCUCUGUUGUAAUAGAAGAACGAGUGUGAGAGUGGAAAGUUCACACUGUGACG
rnacentral:rRNA from 1 species